rnacentral:tRNA from 3 species
GGUGGGUUGGCCGAGAGGCGAGGCAGCGGCCUGCAAAGCCGUCCACACGGGUUCGAAUCCCGUACCCACCU